rnacentral:rRNA from 1 species
UACAGAGGGUGCGAGCGUUAAUCGGAAUUACUGGGCGUAAAGCGUGCGUAGACGGUUAUUUAAGUCGGAUGUGAAAGCCCCGGGCUCAACCUGGGAAUUGCAUUCGAGACUGAAUAGCUAGGGUGCGGUAGAGGGAAGCGGAAUUUCCGGUGUAGCGGUGAAAUGCGUAGAUAGUCGGAAGGAACAUCAGUGGCGAAAGCGGCUUCCUGACC